rnacentral:rRNA from 1 species
GGAUCCAGACUUUGAUCCUGGCUCAGGACGAACGCUGGCGGCGUGCCUAACACAUGCAAGUCGAACGGAACUUUUUUAAAAGACUUCUUCGGAAUGAAUUUGAUUAAGUUUAGUGGCGGACGGGUGAGUAACGCGUGAGUAACCUGCCUCUAAGAGGGGAAUAACAUUCUGAAAAGAAUGCUAAUACCGCAUAACAUAUAUUUAUCGCAUGGUAGAUAUAUCAAAGAUUUAUCGCUUAGAGAUGGACUCGCGUCCGAUUAGUUAGUUGGUGAGGUAAUGGCUCACCAAGACCGCGAUCGGUAGCCGGACUGAGAGGUUGAACGGCCACAUUGGGACUGAGACACGGCCCAGACUCCUACGGGAGGCAGCAGUGGGGGAUAUUGCGCAAUGGGGGAAACCCUGACGCAGCAACGCCGCGUGAAGGAUGAAGGUCUUCGGAUUGUAAACUUCUUUUAUUAAGGACGAAGAAAGUGACGGUACUUAAUGAAUAAGCUCCGGCUAACUACGUGCCAGCAGCCGCGGUAAUACGUAGGGAGCAAGCGUUGUCCGGAUUUACUGGGUGUAAAGGGUGCGUAGGCGGCUUUGCAAGUCAGAUGUGAAAUCUAUGGGCUCAACCCAUAGCCUGCAUUUGAAACUGCAGAGCUUGAGUGAAGUAGAGGCAGGCGGAAUUCCCCAUGUAGCGGUGAAAUGCGUAGAGAUGGGGAGGAACACCAGUGGCGAAGGCGGCCUGCUGGGCUUUAACUGACGCUGAGGCACGAAAGCGUGGGUAGCAAACAGGAUUAGAUACCCUGGUAGUCCACGCUGUAAACGAUGGUUACUAGGUGUGGGGGGUCUGACCCCUUCCGUGCCGGAGUUAACACAAUAAGUAAUCCACCUGGGGAGUACGGCCGCAAGGUUGCAACUCAAAGGAAUGACG